rnacentral:sRNA from 1 species
GCAGAGAGGAAAUUGUGGCCUGCAUA